AGGUGGAGUUGGGAUCGCGAGAUGAAAGGAACCGGACGGUGGGUCGUGGCGGGAAUUUUGAAGUCAAUUUACGGCAUUUUGUAUCAUAGUCUACCAACAGUGUUUCCGUCAGAGAACGCAACUCCGUUUAAGUCCUCAAUGGACUCCACGCGUUUGUGUUCAAUAUGGAGAGAAAAAUAUCCGUGGCAGGCCCUGCAUAGUUGCCUGAGGACUGAUAUGGAGGGCUGAGAACACUUGAUAGAUUGCUGACAACCUAAUUCCGGGGAGUUGCAGCUCCUGUAGUGACCUGCUGCAGGUAUUGCAAAUGGACUUGAACAUUGCUCUUUUAAUCUCUGUAGGGCAACAGCAGUUGCUUUUAUAGUAUCUGUUUUAAUUUUCUGGAUUGUAACUUGGUUGAGUAAUGUGAUGCAUGCAAAAUUGCAGGGGAAGCUAACAAGGUCUAACAAUGCAAUUGCCACUGCAACUCAUUAACGGGUUCAUUUGAUAUUUUCAGCAAAAAAGUUAUACAGAAAACCAAUGUCAUUUUAGACUGUCAUGACCACACCUUGUGUAGUAAACUGGGCCCCCUCCAUCUGCGUCUUAAUUCAAGUAACCUAAAAUAUGUGCAAAAAAAAAAAAAAAACUCCAUCCACAUCCACACUGCCAUUAACCUGUCUUAAUGGUUACCACUGUUUGUUUUACCACGACAGCGUCUUUGUUUUUUGUUAAAAUUGUUUUAUUUUGAUCGUGUCAUUGUAUUUAUGGACCUAUCCCUACUUGGAGGGGUAUACUGAACCCUGACUUUUUUUUCCAUCUCAGGUAUCAAUGCUAUUGUUACUGGAUUUUAUUUUAAGUGUAAUGUGUGUGAAAAUAAA